AGUGAACGCUGGCGGUAGGCCUAACACAUGCAAGUCGAACGGCAGCACAGUAAGAGCUUGCUCUUACGGGUGGCGAGUGGCGGACGGGUGAGGAAUACAUCGGAAUCUACUUUUUCGUGGGGGAUAACGUAGGGAAACUUACGCUAAUACCGCAUACGACCUACGGGUGAAAGCAGGGGAUCUUCGGACCUUGCGCGAUUGAAUGAGCCGAUGUCGGAUUAGCUAGUUGGCGGGGUAAAGGCCCACCAAGGCGACGAUCCGUAGCUGGUCUGAGAGGAUGAUCAGCCACACUGGAACGGAGACACGGUCCAGACUCCUACGGGAGGCAGCAGUGGGGAAUAUUGGACAAUGGGCGCAAGCCUGAUCCAGCCAUACCGCGUGGGUGAAGAAGGCCUUCGGGUUGUAAAGCCCUUUUGUUGGGAAAGAAGAGCAGCAGGUUAAUACCCCGCUGUUCUGACGGUACCCAAAGAAUAAGCACCGGCUAACUUCGUG
rnacentral:rRNA from 1 species